rnacentral:rRNA from 1 species
UUAAAGGAAGUUGACGGGGGAGCACCACAACGGGUGGAGCUUGCGGUUUAAUUGGAUUCAACGCCGGAAAUCUUACCGGGACCGACAGCAAUAUGAAGGCCAGGCUGAAGACUUUGCCGGAUUAGCUGAGAGGUGGUGCAUGGCCGUCGUCAGUUCGUACUGUGAAGCAUCCUGUUAAGUCAGGCAACGAGCGAGACCCACGCCCACAGUUGCCAGCGUACUCUCCGGAGUGACGGGUACACUGUGGGACCGCCGCUGCUAAAGCGGAGGAAGGAAUGGGCAACGGUAGGUCAGUAUGCCCCGAAUAUCCCGGGCUACACGCGAGCUACAAUGGUUGGUACAAUGGGUAUCUACCCCGAAAGGGGACGGGAAUCUCCUAAAACCAAUCUUAGUUCGGAUUGAGGGCUGCAACUCGCCCUCAUGAAGCUGGAAUCCGUAGUAAUCGCGUUUCAACAGAACGCGGUGAAUACGUCCCUGCUCCUU